rnacentral:rRNA from 1 species
CCUAAGGUAGCGAAAUUCCUUGUCGGGUAAGUUCCGACCUGCACGAAUGGCGUAACGACUUCCCCACUGUCUCGACCAGGAGCUCGGCGAAAUUGCAGUACGAGUAAAGAUGCUCGUUAAGCGCAGAAGGACGAAAAGACCCCGGGACCUUUACUAUACCUUGGUAUUGGCGUUAGGCGCGGAUUGUGUAGCAUAGGCGGGAGGCUUCGAAGCGGGUGCGCCAGCAUUCGUGGAGCCGCAAGGUGAAAUACCGCUCUGUUCGCAUUGGAUGUCUAACCUCGAACAGUCAUCCUGUUCAGGGACAGUGCCUGGCGGGUAGUUUAACUGGGGCGGUUGCCUCCCAAAGAGUAACGGAGGCGCUCAAAGGUCCGCUCAGCCCGGUUGGCAAUCGGGUGUCGAGUGUAAUCGCACAAGCGGGCUUGACUGCGAGGACGACGGUCCGAGCAGGGACGAAAGUCGGAGAUAGUGAUCCGGUGCCGGCGCACGGGCGCGGCAUCGCUCAACGGAUAAAAGGUACCCCGGGGAUAACAGGCUGAUCAUUCCCAAGAGUCCAUAUCGACGGGAUGGUUUGGCACCUCGAUGUCGGCUCGUCGCAUCCUGGGGCUGGAGCAGGUCCCAAGGGUUCGGCUGUUCGCCGAUUAAAGCGGCACGCGAGCUGGGUUCAGAACGUCGUGAGACAGUUUGGUCUCUAUCCUCUGCGCUCGUUGGAAUGCUGAGGAGGCCUGCCCAUAGUACGAGAGGACCUGGGUGGACGAACCUCUGGUAUGCCGGUUGUCGCGCCAGCGGCACGGCCGGUUGGCUACGUUCGGGAGGGAUAACCGCUGAAAGCAUCUAAGCGGGAAGCCUGCUCCAAGAUUAGGAUUCCAUGGAUCUUCGAGAUCCUGUAGCCCGCAUGUUGAACACGUGUUUGAUAGGCCGGAGGUGGAAGCCCCGUGAGGGGUGGAGCCGACCGGUACUAACGGGCGACGGCGACACAAC